rnacentral:rRNA from 1 species
CCUACGGGAGGCAGCAGUAGGGAAUAUUGCGCAAUGGGGGAAACCCUGAAGCAGCAACGCCGCGUGGAGGAUGAGGGUUUUCGGAUGGUAAGCUCUUUUUGUUAGAGCAGAAAAUGACGGUAUCUAACGAAUAAUCACCGGCUAACGCCGUGCCAGCAGCCGCGGUAAUACGGAGGGUGCAAGCGUUCCUCGGAAUCACUGGGCGUAAAGAGCGCGUAGGCGGGAUUGCAAGUCAGAUGUGAAAUCCUAUGGCUUAACCAUAGGACUGCAUUUGAUAAUGUUAUUGUAGAGUAUGGGAGAGGUAGGUGGAAUUCUUGGUGUAGGGGUGAAAUGCGUAGAGAUCAGGAGGAAUACUCAUUGCGAAGGCGACCUGCUAGAACAUAACUGACGCUGAUGCGCGAAAGCGUGGGGAGCAAACAGGAUUAGAUACCCCGGUAGUC